rnacentral:rRNA from 1 species
UACAGGGGGUGCAAGCGUUGUUCGGAAUUACUGGGCGUAAAGCGCGGGCAGGUGGCCCGCUAAGUCUGCGGUGAAAUCCCGGAGCUCAACUCCGGAUAUGCCGCGGAUACUGGCGGGCUAGAGACCAGUAGAGGCGAGUGGAAUUCCAGGUGUAGCGGUGGAAUGCGCAGAUAUCAGGAGGAACACCUAUAGCGAAGGCAGCUUGCUGGGACGUUACUGACGCUAAGGCGCGAAAGCGUGGGGAGCGAACAGG